GAUGAACGCUGGCGGCGUGCCUAAUACAUGCAAGUCGAGCGAACAGACGAGGAGCUUGCUCCUCUGACGUUAGCGGCGGACGGGUGAGUAACACGUGGAUAACCUCCCUAUAAGACUGGGAUAACUUCGGGAAACCGGCGCUAAUCCCGGAUAAUAUAUUGAACCGCAUGGUUCAAUAGUGAAAGACGGUUUUGCUGUCACUUAUAGAUGGAUCCGCGCGGCAUUAGCUAGUUGGUAAGGUAACGGCUUACCAAGGCAACGAUGCGUAGCCGACCUGAGAGGGUGAUCGGCCACACGGGAACUGAGACAGGGUCCAGACGCCUACGGGAGGCAGCAGUAGGGAAUCGUCCGCAAUGGGCGAAAGCCUGACGGAACAACGCCGCGUGAGUGAUGAAGGUCUUCGGAUCGUAAAACUCUGUUAUUAGGUAAGAACAAAUUUGUAAGUAACUAUGCACGUCUUGACGGUACCGAAUCAGAAAGCCACGGCUAACUACGUG
rnacentral:rRNA from 1 species